GACGAACGCUGGCGGCGUGCUUAACACAUGCAAGUCGAACGGUGAAGGGACCAGCUUGCUGGUUCUGGAUGAGUGGCGAACGGGUGAGUAACACGUGAGUAACCUGCCCCCUUCUUCUGGAUAACCGCAUGAAAGUGUGGCUAAUACGGGAUAUUCUGGGUCUGUCGCAUGGCGGGCCCGGGAAAGAUAUUGCUUCGGUGGGGGAUGGGCUCGCGGCCUAUCAGCUUGUUGGUGGGGUGAUGGCCUACCAAGGCGGUGCCGGGUAGCCGGCCUGAGAGGGUGGACGGUCACACUGGGACUGAGACACGGCCCAGACUGCUACGGGAGGCAGCAGUGGGGAAUAUUGCACAAUGGGCGCAAGCCUGAUGCAGCGACGCCGCGUGAGGGAGGGAGGCCUUCGGGUUGUAAACCUCUUUCGCCAGUGAAGCAGGCCUGCUCCUUGUGGGUGGGUUGACGGUAGCUGGAUAAGAAGCGCCGGCUAACUACGUG
rnacentral:rRNA from 1 species